rnacentral:rRNA from 1 species
GAUGAACGCUGGCGGCGUGCUUAAUACAUGCAAGUCGAGCGAACAGACGAGGAUCUUGCUCCUCUGACGUUAGCGGCGGACGGGUGAGUAACACGUGGAUAACCUACCUAUAAGACUGGGAUAACUUCGGGAAACCGGAGCUAAUACCAGAUAAUAUAUUGAACCGCAUGGUUCAAUAGUGAAAGACGGUUUUGCUGUCACUUAUAGAUGGUUCCGCGCUUCAUUAGCUAGUUGGUAAGGUAACGGCUUAUCAAGGCAAGGAUGCGUAGCCGACCUGGGCGGGAGAUCGGCCACACUGGAACGGGGACACGGUCCAGACGCCUACGGGAGGCAGCAGUAGGGAAUCUUCCGCAAUGGGGGAGAGCAUGACGGAGCAAGGGCGCGUGAGUGAUGAAGGUCUUCGGAUCGUAAAACUCUGUUAUUAGGGAAGAACAGAUGUGUAAGUAACUAUGCACGAAUUGACGGUACCUGAUCAGAAAGCCACGGCUAACUACGUG